GUGGUAAUAUAAACACACUUUUUAUAUAUCUAUCUAUUUUCAUUAUUUUUUAAGUUAUAUUACAUUUUUGACUUUAUGAAAAUUUAUUUAAAUAGUAUGAGAUAGAUAUAUAAAAAUAGUUGAUGAAAAUAUUGACUCUCAAAAUUAACAAUACUUUAGAUAAAAUAUUUACCACGCCCUUCGCUGAAGGGUGACAAUGGGCUAUUGCCCACGAGCUAGAUCACAAACCGAGCUAGAUGCUUGUUUUGAAAAAGUCGAGAUCGACAAAUUCAUUGUAAAAUUGACUUUGUGACAUAACAGGUGAGUCGCCUCCAAUAUUGAACAAGACCUCAACAAAUGAUUGUAAAUCCAUUUGUAAUAAAUUGAUAAUAUAAGACUUGAUUCCUUGAAUGAAGAUGAAACGACGAAUUAAUAUGCAGAAAUUUGAUAAUUAUACGAACGUAAAUUGUAAUAAAUUGGUGUAUAAAAUGUUAUGUAGAGAAUCGCAUUGUGAUUUGUGUUGCGGAAACUUUUGAGAAAUCUUGGAUUUUGGGGCUCAAAAAACAACCAAACGAACAUCAAAAUCACCAAGGCUUGACCCAAAACCGAACUCUAUGUUGGUUGCUCUAAGUUCUCUCAAUCCCACAAAAAAGAAUGGAUGGUGGUGGUACUAGCAAGAGUAGGAAGAAGAAGAAGCAACAAUACUAAAAAUAUCUCCCAAUUCUCUCCUCUCCAUCUUUCCAACCGGCCGCCCUCCCUUUCCAUUUUCUUCCCAUCCCUUGCUACAAUAAAUACACACCACACAAAAACGGCUUACAGGGAUGGAUAUAUAGAUUGAAUAUUAGGCCACUUAAUUGGGCCAACAAUAAAGUAAAUGGGCCAAAAUAAACUAAAGCUUAAACCAUCAAGUGGGCUAUUUAAACCUAAGGCAAAACUUAAUAACAAUUGGGCCAAAAUUCACAUAUCCAUAAAUAAUAAAUCCAACUCUAACUUGGGUCAUCCAAAAGUAUAGAUCGUUC
rnacentral:lncRNA from 1 species